GUCGAGCGAGCGGAACCAACAGAUUUACUUCGGUAAUGACGUUGGGAAAGCGAGCGGCGGAUGGGUGAGUAACACGUGGGGAACCUGCCCCUAAGUCUGGGAUACCAUUUGGAAACAGGUGCUAAUACCGGAUAAUAAAGCAGAUCGCAUGAUCAGCUUUUGAAAGGCGGCGUAAGCUGUCGCUAAGGGAUGGCCCCGCGGUGCAUUAGCUAGUUGGUAAGGUAACGGCUUACCAAGGCGACGAUGCAUAGCCGAGUUGAGAGACUGAUCGGCCACAUUGGGACUGAGACACGGCCCAAACUCCUACGGGAGGCAGCAGUAGGGAAUCUUCCACAAUGGACGCAAGUCUGAUGGAGCAACGCCGCGUGAGUGAAGAAGGUUUUCGGAUCGUAAAGCUCUGUUGUUGGUGAAGAAGGAUAGAGGUAGUAACUGGCCUUUAUUUGACGGUAAUCAACCAGAAAGUCACGGCUAACUACGUGCCAGCAGCCGCGGUAAUACGUAGGUGGCAAGCGUUGUCCGGAUUUAUUGGGCGUAAAGCGAGCGCAGGCGGAAAAAUAAGUCUAAUGUGAAAGCCCUCGGCUUAACCGAGGAACUGCAUCGGAAACUGUUUUUCUUGAGUGCAGAAGAGGAGAGUGGAACUCCAUGUGUAGCGGUGGAAUGCGUAGAUAUAUGGAAGAACACCAGUGGCGA
rnacentral:rRNA from 1 species